UAAAUUAAGAAAGAGAGGGAAAAACAUGUGAAAGUCCUGGCUUGCCAUUGUUGAGUGCUGUGAGUAGUAGACUAGGAUAGUGCCUCAAAACAUGUAUAUAUAAAAAAGAAGUUUUAAACUGCAUUUUGUUCUAUAUGCUUUAUGCGUUAAUAUUCAAUUUGGCUGUUGCAGUUGGUAUUUGUGGAUAUUGGUGGUCAUCUUCUUGUUGCUGAAUGUUAAUGGUAAGUUACUGUAUAAUUACUAUGUCAUCACUUCAAAUGUUCUGUCAAAAUCUCGUAAAGUAAAUUAAUCUUAAAUUUAUUCUUAUCUUUAUUCUUUUUCCUCUUUAACUUGAGGUUAUUGUGUCCCACUCAGGGUUUGGUUUUGCACUCAAA
rnacentral:lncRNA from 1 species